rnacentral:rRNA from 1 species
UACGGAGGGUGCGAGCGUUGUCCGGAAUCACUGGGCGUAAAGGGCGCGUAGGCGGCAGGCCAAGCGUGCGGUGAAAGUCCGGGGCUCAACCCCGGAUCUGCCGUGCGGACUGGUUUGCUAGAGCACUGUGGAGGCGAGUGGAAUUCCGGGUGUAGCGGUGGAAUGCGUAGAGAUCCGGAAGAACACCGGUGGCGAAGGCGGCUCGCUGGGCAGUGGCUGACGCUGAGGCGCGACAGCGUGAGGAGCAAACAGG